rnacentral:rRNA from 1 species
GACGUAGGGGGCAAGCGUUGUUCGGAAUUAUUGGGCGUAAAGCGCUCGUAGGCGGGACAGGAAGUUCGUGUUGAAAGACCUCGGCUCAACUGGAGGACCGGCUCGAAUACUCUUGUUCUUGAGGCAAUCAGAGGGUGAUGGAAUUCCCGGUGUAGCGGUGAAUGCGCAGAUAUCGGGAGGAACACCGGUGGCGAAGGCGGUUCUCUGGGCCUUACCUGACGGCUGAGGAGCGAAGCGUGGGAGCGAACGG